rnacentral:rRNA from 1 species
CCUACGGGAGGCUUCAGUGGGGAAUAUUGGACAAUGGGCGAAAGCCUGAUCCAGCCAUGCCGCGUGUGUGAAGAAGGCCUUCGGGUUGUAAAGCACUUUCAGUGGGGAAGAAAGCCUUGGGGCUAAUACCCUCGAGGAAGGACAUCACCCACAGAAGAAGCACCGGCUAACUCCGUGCCAGCAGCCGCGGUAAUACGGAGGGUGCGAGCGUUAAUCGGAAUUACUGGGCGUAAAGCGCGCGUAGGCGGUCUGAUAAGCCGGUUGUGAAAGCCCCGGGCUCAACCUGGGAACGGCAUCCGGAACUGUCAGGCUAGAGUGCAGGAGAGGAAGGUAGAAUUCCCGGUGUAGCGGUGAAAUGCGUAGAGAUCGGGAGGAAUACCAGUGGCGAAGGCGGCCUUCUGGACUGACACUGACGCUGAGGUGCGAAAGCGUGGGUAGCAAACAGGAUUAGAUACCCCGGUAGUC